AGAGUUCGAUCCUGGCUCAGGAUGAACGCUGGCGGCGCGCCUAACACAUGCAAGUCGAACGGUUAAAGCCCCUUCGGGGGUGCAUAGAGUGGCGAACGGCUGAGUAACACGUGGGCAACCUGCCCCCCGCACCGGGACAGCCUCGGGAAACCGUGGUUAAUACCGGAUACUCCGCCGCCCCCGCAUGGGGGCGGCGGGAAAGCCCAGGCGGAGGGGGAUGGGCCCGCGGCCUGUUAGCUCGUUGGCGGGGUAACGGCCCACCAAGGCGAUGAUGGGUAGCCGGGUUGAGAGACCGACCGGCCAGAUUGGGACUGAGACACGGCCCAGACUCCUACGGGAGGCAGCAGUGGGGAAUCUUGCACAAUGGGCGAAAGCCUGAUGCAGCGACGCCGCGUGCGGGAAGAAGGCCUUCGGGUUGUAAACCGCUUUCAGCAGGGACGAGGCGAAAGUGACGGUACCUGCAGAAGAAGCCCCGGCUAACUACGUGCCAGCAGCCGCGGUAAUACGUAGGGGGCGAGCGUUAUCCGGAUUCAUUGGGCGUAAAGCGCGCGCAGGCGGCCUGCUCGGUCGGGAGUCAAAUCCGGGGGCUCAACCCCCGCCCGCUCCCGAUACCGGCGGGCUUGAGUCUGGUAGGGGAAGGCGGAAUUCCCAGUGUAGCGGUGGAAUGCGCAGAUAUUGGGAAGAACACCGGUGGCGAAGGCGGCCUUCUGGGCCACGACUGACGCUGAGGCGCGAAAGCUAGGGGAGCGAACAGGAUUAGAUACCCUGGUAGUCCUAGCCGUAAACGAUGGACACUAGGUGUGGGGGGGAGGAUCCCUCCGUGCCGCAGCCAACGCAUUAAGUGUCCCGCCUGGGGAGUACGGCCGCAAGGCUAAAACUCAAAGGAAUUGACGGGGGCCC
rnacentral:rRNA from 1 species